GGCCGAGUAGCUCAGUUGGUAGAGCAGGGGAUUGAAAAUCCCCGUGUCGGCGGUUCGAUUCCGUCMUCGGCCACCA
rnacentral:tRNA from 1 species